rnacentral:rRNA from 1 species
UACGGGGGGAGCAAGCGUUGUUCGGAUUUACUGGGCGUAAAGGGCGCGUAGGCGGCCACCGCAAGUCGACUGUGAAAUCUCCGGGCUUAACCCGGAAAGGUCAGCCGAUACUGCGGGGCUAGAGUGCAGAAGGGGCAACUGGAAUUCUCGGUGUAGCGGUGAAAUGCGUAGAUAUCGAGAGGAAACACCUGCGGCGAAGGCGGGUUGCUGGGCUGACACUGACGCUGAGGCGCGAAAGCUAGGGGAGCGAACGGG